rnacentral:rRNA from 1 species
UAGGGAAUAUUGGACAAUGGGGGCAACCCUGAUCCAGCCAUGCCGCGUGAGUGAAGAAGGCCCUCGGGUUGUAAAGCUCUUUUGUCCGGAAAGAAAAGCAUUCGGUGAAUACCCGGAUGUUCUGACGGUACCGGAAGAAUAAGCACCGGCUAACUUCGUGCCAGCAGCCGCGGUAAUACGAAGGGUGCAAGCGUUACUCGGAAUUACUGGGCGUAAAGCGUGCGUAGGUGGUUGUUUAAGUCUGAUGUGAAAGCCCUGGGCUCAACCCGGGAAUGGCAUUGGAAACUGGGAAGCUAGAGUGCCGUGGAGGGUAGUGGAAUUCCCGGUGUAGCAGUGAAAUGCGUAGAGAUCGGGAGGAACAUCUGUGGCGAAGGCGACUGCCUGGACCAGCACUGACACUGAGGCACGAAAGCGUGGGGAGCAAACA